rnacentral:misc_RNA from 1 species
GAACGCACCUUGCGCUCCUUGGUAUUCCGAGGAGCAUGCCUGUUUGAGUGUCAUUAAUAUAUAUAUCAAACUUCUCUUGUUGAGUGGUAUGGAUGUGUGGGGGUUUGCUGGCAUCUUAAAAAAAGGUUCAGCUCCCCUGAAAUGCAUUAGCAGAACAACCUGUUCAUUGGCGUGAUAACUAUCUACGCUAUUGAAUGUGAGGGUCAGUUCAGCUUUCUAACAGUCCUUGGACAAAUCAUCAUUAAUGUGACCUCAAAUCAGGUAGGACUACCCGCUGAACUUAAG